rnacentral:lncRNA from 1 species
UGGUGGUUAUGAGGCUGGGGGCUCUGAAAUGCCAGAAGCACGGCCCCUGGUGUGAGAGGAGAGGACAGGAGGAGGUGGGGUUCCAGAGUAGCAGAGACACUAAACAGGGAGAUCCUCCCAGGGCUGAGCCGAGCACACCUGCUGGUCACCAAAUGCCCAGGGUUGGGCAUCAGAGACAGCCUCAUAUGGGCCAGAGCUCCUUAGCUCUGUGUCACAAUGCCGAGGUGUCUUUCAUUAUCUCAGGGGCCAUUGUGAAAACAUCUGUGUGCCAGGAAGCCCUGCUGAGAAGGUGGAAGUAGGCGUCACAAAGUCAGAAAUACUGAUGGGUUUGGUUCCACUCUGGAGAGGCAGGUUGUAGGGGAUGGAUCUGGAUACUGAUUCUGGCUGCAGGACCAGCAUGCCAGGGCCUUCAGAAUCCUCCAAUGGCUCAUGGAGAUGGACAUAAAACUCCCAGCUGGGAUCCCUCUGGGCCAGUUAUGUGCUCCAUCCUCAGCAUGAAAAAUUGAGAGAGGUUGCCUAGGUUCCUUUGCACUCCACCUCACCGCUGCUUGAGGGCUUGGGCUCU